UACGUAGGGUGCAAGCGUUGUCCGGAAUUAUUGGGCGUAAAGAGCUCGUAGGCGGUUUGUCGCGUCGGCUGUGAAAACUCGGGGCUCAACCCCGAGCCUGCAGUCGAUACGGGCAGACUAGAGUGCUGUAGGGGAGACUGGAAUUCCUGGUGUAGCGGUGAAAUGCGCAGAUAUCAGGAGGAACACCGGUGGCGAAAGCGGGUCUCUGGGCAGUAACUGACGCUGAGGAGCGAAAGCGUGGGGAGCAAACAGG
rnacentral:rRNA from 1 species